rnacentral:lncRNA from 1 species
AAACAUCCCAAGCCGUUUACCUUAGGUUCUCAUUGCUAUAAAGAAAUACCUCUGACCAAAGGAACUUAAGGAAGGGUUCGUUUGGCUCAGUGUUUGAGAAUCCAUCAUGGCAGCAGGAAUGCAAGGCAGCUGUCACCUGUCAACAGGCAGGAAGCAGAGAGAGGCAAAGGCUGCUGCUCAGCUUGCUGUCCCCCCUUUAUUCAUUCCAGGGUCUCACUCCACGGAAUAGUGCAGUGCAUAAUUAGAGUAGGUUUCCUAACCUCAACCCAGCAUAGAAAUUCCCUCACAGACAUGCCCAUGGCCUCAGAGAUCCUAGAUCCUGUCAGCUUGGCACUUGGUGUCAACCAUCAUACCCACCUUAUUUUCUACUGUCCAAUACUCUGUAAGUUGAACAUGCUAGAUAAUGAGGAGACAGAGAUUCCAAGAGCUCAACUACCAAAUGGUCAUGCCUCUGGGUGCAAAGCCCUGAUCCUUUACUCUGUGUUGUUCAGACCACUGGAAAAGGCCUGGAGCUUGUUACCUGGGUCCUUGAGACUCUCAGGAAGGUGAUCUCCCAUGCAGAGAUGUGGUUUCAAGCAGUAGAGAGCUGAAAAUUGACUUUGGUCAAGUGUGGAGAUCAUUAGGCUGCAGGAACUCUUAACACCUUCAGCAUUUCACAGCAGCCCUGAGCUCCCCAAAUACAGAGAGCACCAGCACCCGUCCUUUAAAAGGUGAAUGAAAUCACUAGCUAGCCCAGCGCCUACGCAUCUUCCCCUUUGCCUUCAAUUACCUCAGUCCCCAGUUACAUCAUUGCUAGUGAGAUGCUUAACAAAACCAUGGUAAUGUCAGCAGCAGUGAAUUAAAUGAGAAUAAAGGGAGCUCUGUUUCUGUUCAAUGUCCCACUUGGGGAUGAUGCCUAACUGUGUUCUUUAGCUUCCUACAGGGAUUCCCACGUGGAAGUAAAGUAUCUGGUUGAAACCUGGACAAGUAUGUGGCAAGCACUGGAAUCCAAGUAUAGGGUCACUUCCCGAUCCUAGGAUGAAAACCCAAUAGCUGAGAAAUAAGUACACCAAAAUGUUAUGUUCAUGAUGUAAGGCAGACUAACUCUGACAGAGAACUGAGUUGAAACAGUGUCACUCUUCUGCCAGCCUUUGCCUGAAGAAUGCAAAUUGGGUAAUGUUCACACCAGAUCUUUCUGAGAACUUCUUUUUGGUCGCCACCUGGCAUAGUACUCAAGUUCUAAAGUCUUAUUAAUCAGGAAUACUCCAGACGCUAACUUAAAUGUAGUCCCUAGCAUGAAGAUAUAGGGUGAGAGG